CAAAAAAUAGUUUAAUUAAAAUAAUAAUUUUGGGAAUUAUUGAUAUUUUUUAGAAUAAAAUUUUUUUGA
rnacentral:tRNA from 1 species